UUUUUAAAACAUGUUCUUUUGUUUAUAUAAAAGAUUUGACCUGCCCAAUGAUUAAUUAUUUAAUGGCUGCAGUAUUUUGACUGUACAAAGGUAGCAUAAUCAUUUGUCUUUUAAUUGAAGUCUAGGAUGAAUGGUUUGAUGAAAAAUAUGUUUUCUUUAUUUUAAAUGGGAAAUUUAAUUUUUUAGUUAAAAAGCUGAAAUUUUAUUAUAGGACGAGAAGACCCUAUAGAACUUUAUUUUUAAAUUUAUAAAUUUAAUAUAGAAUAUUUUAAAGUGUAUAAUGAUUAAAUUUUGUUGGGGUGACAGAAAAAAUAUAAUAACUUUUUCUAUAUUUUUCAUUAUUAUUGAGUUUUUGAUCCUUUUUUAGGGAUAUAAGAUUAAGUUACCUUAGGGAUAACAGCGUUAUUAUUUUAGAGAGUUCUUAUCGAUAAAGUAGUUUGCGACCUCGAUGUUGGAUUAUAAUAAGAUGUGGGGAGUAGAAUAUUAUUUUCUAGGUCUGUUCGACCUUUAAAUUUUUACAUGAUCU
rnacentral:rRNA from 1 species